rnacentral:tmRNA from 1 species
GGGGAUGUUUUUAGUAUUCGACAUAGUGGAAUUUAU